AUCUGCCCUGAAGAAGAGAAUAAUCCCGGGAAAUGGGGGUAAUGCUCUAUAGUCCGGGCGAACUGGAAUGUUCUCCGGAUGAAAGAUCCGUCGCUUCAGGAUGAGUCUGCGGCCGAUUAGGUAGUUGUUGGGGUAAAAGCCCAACAAGCCUGUAAUCGGUACGGGUUGUGGGAGCAAGAGCCCGGAGAUGGAUUCUGAGACACGAAUCCAGGCCCUACGGGGCGCAGCAGGCGCGAAAACUUUACAAUGCGGGCAACCGUGAUAAGGAAACCCCGAGUGCCACCACAGGGUGGCUGUCCACCAGUGUAAACAACUGGUGAAGAAAGGGCCGGGCAAGACCGGUGCCAGCCGCCGCGGUAAAUACCGGCGGCUCGAGUGGUGGCCGCUUUUACUGGGCUUAAGGCGUCCGUAGCUGGAUCCAUGGGUCCCUUGAGAAAUCCAUCAGCUUAACUGCUGGGCGUUCAGGGGAAACUGUGGUUCUAGGGACCGGGAGAGGUAAGAGGUACUGCCGGGGUAGGAGUGAAAUCCUGUAAUCCCGGUGGGACGACCUAUAGCGAAGGCAUCUUACCAGAACGGCUCCGACAGUGAGGGACGAAAGCUGGGGGAGCAAACCGGAUUAGAUACCCGGGUAGUCCCAGCUGUAAACGAUGCGCGUUAGGUGUGUCAGUGACCACGUGUCACUGAUGUGCCGAAGGGAAACCGUGAAACGCGCCGCCUGGGGAGUACGGUCGCAAGGCUGAAACUUAA
rnacentral:rRNA from 1 species